rnacentral:rRNA from 1 species
AAUCAACGCUGGCGGCGUGCCUAACACAUGCGAAGUCGAACGCGAAAGGGGGGCUUCGGCUCCGUAAGUAGAGUGGCGUCCGGGUGAGUAACACGUAGGUAAUCUGCCUUCGGGUGCGGAAUAACCAGUCGAAAGAUUGGCUAAUACCGCAUAAUGCAGCGGCACCUAAAUGGUGAUUAGUUGUUAAAGCGGGGGAUCGUAAGACCUCGCGCCUGAAGAGGAGCCUGCGGCAGA